CAACCNGCCCACCACUNGGGGAUAACCUNGCGAAAGUAAGACUAAUACCCAAUGACGUCUCUAGAAGACAUCUGAAAGAGAUUAAAGAUUUAUCGGUGAUGGAUGGGGAUGCGUCUGAUUAGCUNGUUGGCGGGGUAACGGCCCACCAAGGCGACGAUCAGUAGGGGUUCUGAGAGGAAGGUCCCCCACAUUGGAACUGAGACACGGUCCAAACUCCUACGGGAGGCAGCAGUGAGGAAUAUUGGUCANUGGACGAGAGUCUGAACCAGCCAAGUAGCGUGCAGGAAGACGGCCCUAUGGGUUGUAAACUGCUUUUAUAAGGGAAUAAAGUGAGUCUCGUGAGACUUUUUGCAUGUACCUUAUGAAUAAGGACCGGCUAAUUCCGUGCCAGCAGCCGCGGUAAUACGGAAGGUCCGGGCGUUAUCCGGAUUUAUUGGGUUUAAAGGGAGCGUAGGCCGGAGAUUAAGCGUGUUGUGAAAUGUAGACGCUCAACGUCUGCACUGCAGCGCGAACUGGUUUCCUUGAGUACGCACAAAGUGGGCGGAAUUCGUGGUGUAGCGGUGAAAUGCUUAGAUAUCACGAAGAACUCCGAUUG
rnacentral:rRNA from 1 species